GGGUGAGUAACACGUGGGAACGUGCCUUUAGGUUCGGAAUAGCUCCUGGAAACGGGUGGUAAUGCCGAAUGUGCCCUUCGGGGGAAAGAUUUAUCGCCUUUAGAGCGGCCCGCGUCUGAUUAGCUUGUUGGUGAGGUAAUGGCUCACCAAGGCUACGAUCAGUAGCUGGUCUGAGAGGAUGGCCAGCCACAUUGGGACUGAGACACGGCCCAAACUCCUACGGGAGGCAGCAGUGGGGAAUCUUGCGCAAUGGGCGAAAGCCUGACGCAGCCAUGCCGCGUGAAUGAUGAAGGUCUUAGGAUUGUAAAAUUCUUUCACCGGGGACGAUAAUGACGGUACCCGGAGAAGAAGCCCCGGCUAACUUCGUGCCAGCAGCCGCGGUAAUACGAAGGGGGCUAGCGUUGCUCGGAAUUACUGGGCGUAAAGGGAGCGUAGGCGGACAUUUAAGUCAGAGGUGAAAUCCCGGGGCUCAACCUCGGAACUGCCUUUGAUACUGGAUGUCUUGAGUGUGAGAGAGGUAUGUGGAACUCCGAGUGUAGAGGUGAAAUUCGUAGAUAUUCGGAAGAACACCAGUGGCGAAGGCGACAUACUGGCUCAUUACUGACGCUGAGGCUCGAAAGCGUGGGGAGCAAACAGGAUUAGAUACCCUGGUAGUCCACGCCGUAAACGAUGAUUGCUAGUUGUCGGGAUGCAUGCAUUUCGGUGACGCACCUAACGCAUUAAC
rnacentral:rRNA from 1 species